AGAGUGAACGCUGGCGGUAGGCCUAACACAUGCAAGUCGAACGGCAGCACGGUAAGAGCUUGCUCUUAUGGGUGGCGAGUGGCGGACGGGUGAGGAAUACAUCGGAAUCUACCUUUUGGUGGGGGAUAACGUAGGGAAACUUACGCUAAUACCGCAUACGCCCUUCGGGGGAAAGCCGGGGACCAGCAAUGGCCUGGUGCUGAUAGAUGAGCCGAUGUCGGAUUAGCUAGUUGGUGAGGUAAUGGCUCACCAAGGCGACGAUCCGUAGCUGGUCUGAGA
rnacentral:rRNA from 1 species